rnacentral:rRNA from 1 species
ACUCACCAGGUCCAGACACAAUAAGGAUUGACAGAUUGAGAGCUCUUUCUUGAUUUUGUGGGUGGUGGUGCAUGGCCGUUCUUAGUUGGUGGAGUGAUUUGUCUGCUUAAUUGCGAUAACGAACGAGACCUUAACCGUUAAAUAGAUUAGCUCGCAUUUGCGGGUAUAUUAAUCUUCUUAGCGGGACUGCGGAUUUUAAGUCUGNGGAAGUUUGAGGCAAUAACAGGUCUGUGAUGCCCUUAGACGUUCUGGGCCGCACGCGCGCUACACUGACGGAGCCAGCGAGUNAANUAACCAAGCCCGAGAGGGCUAGGUAAUCUUGUGAAACUCCGUCGUGCUGGGGAUCGAGCAUUGCAAUUAUUGCUCGUGAACGAGGAAUUCCUAGUAAGCGCAAGUCAUCAGCUUGCGUUGAUUACGUCCCUGCCCUUUGUACACACCGCCCGUCGCUACUACCGAUUGAAUGGUUUAGUGAGACCUCAGGAGAUCUUGAAGAAAUGGGGGCAACCCUAUAGAUUUGGAUCAAAUUUGGUCAAACUUGAUCAUUUAGAGGAAGUAAAAGUCGUAACAAGGUUUCCGUAG